GAUCCUGGCUCAGGAUGAACGCUGGCGGCGUGCUUAACACAUGCAAGUCGAACGAGGAUUUAACGGAAUGCGAUUCGUCAAAUGAAAUUAAAUCCGAGUGGCGGACGGGUGAGUAACGCGUGGAUAACCUGCCUCGCACAGGGGGACAACAGUUGGAAACGACCGCUAAUACCGCAUAACACAAGUAAUUCGCAUGAAUAACUUGCCAAAGAUUAUAUCGGUGUGAGAUGGAUCCGCGU
rnacentral:rRNA from 1 species